UACGUAGGCAGCAAGCGUUGUUCGGAAUUACUGGGCGUAAAGGGUGUGUAGGCGGUUGCUUAAGUUUGGUGUGAAAUCUCCCGGCUCAACUGGGAGGGUGCACCGAAUACUGAGUGACUAGAGUGCGGGAGAGGAAAGUGGAAUUCCUGGUGUAGCGGUGAAAUGCGUAGAUAUCAGGAGGAACACCGGUGGUGUAGACGGCUUCUGGACCGUAACUGACGCUGGAGACACGAAAGCGUGGGUAGCAAACAGG
rnacentral:rRNA from 1 species